UCUAUAUAGAUUUAGUUAAAUCAGUACACGCUUACAUUUUGGCUUAAAUCACUGUAACAAUUGUAUUGUAAUUAUGGCUUUUUACGCUUAUAAAAAUGCUAUAGUCAACACAGUUGGACUGUUCAAACGAGUCUAGAAGCGGAACAGUUUUCAGCAAAGCUCAGCGUGCCGCCCGAACGCUAAUGUGUGAUGGACCGGGAAGAAAUGGUGUGAAAGUGGAGUCCAUCAUCUGAUAAGUAAUGUAUUAUUGAUGUCUGGAACAUCAUCGUGAGAGAAAAUGUGUCAGUAUGACUGAAGACAGUGUGAAAUUGCCAGAUGUACUGGAAUAGAAACCUAUUAUAGAGUCCAAAGGAUACUAAUCUGGACGGCUUUGUUUACUUUGAACAUGAGCAUUUGAACAUGAGCAAUCUCUGCUGUUUCUUUCUGAAUUCUUUAGCUUAAGCUUAGAUGUGAAGAGGACCUAGCGAAAACAGAUUGCAUCUGAUCUUAACAGAAUAAAGACAUGAAGAACUUUUCAAUUUCUCACAAAACAGUGUUUGUUGUGGACCAUUGUCCCUACAUGUCAGAAUCCUGCAGGCAACAAGUGGAGUUUGAUAUGCUAAAUAAAAAUCGAGCUCAAGGCAUCAUUCCACUGGCCCCCAUCUCAAAAUCUCUGUGGACAUGUGCUGUUGAAUGUUCAAUGGAAUAUUGCAGAAUAUUAUAUGAUAUAUACCCAGCCAAGAAGCUGGUUUGUUACAUUGUAAGCGACUCUGAGUUUCACAUUUUAAAUAGCUGGAACCAAGAAGAUCAAAAUGUUCAAGAGCUGAUGUCUGCUCUUGCAGCUGUUGGUCCCCCUAACCCUCGUGAAGACCCUGAGUGUUGUAGCAUAUUACAUGGAUUAGUGGCUGCAGUAGAGACUCUGUGCAAAGUUACAGAAUACCAACAAGAAGCUCGCAUCUCAAUGAUGGAUAAUGUAGAGCGUGUAAGCAACAGAGGCCGUAUUAUCUGCAUCACAAAUGCAAAGAGUGACACACAUGUGCGAAUGUUGGAGGACUGUGUUCAAGAAGCAAUUCAAGACCACAAUAAACUUGCUGCUGGGUCAGAUCGACUUAUGCAGAUUCAGCAGUGUGAACUGGUUCUUAUUCACACACAUCCAUUUGGAGAUGACACUCUUGUAUCUGACCGGCCAAGGAGAGAGAUUUCUCCUGUCCUAACCAGUGAAGUACAUAGUGUUCGUGCAGGAAGGCACCUUGCAGCAAAGCUAAACAUUUUAGUUCAGCAGCACUUUGACUUGGCUUCCACUACCAUCACAAAUAUCCCCAUGAAGGAAGAACAGCAUGCAAAUACAUCAGCUAAUUAUGAUGUGGAGUUAUUUCAUCAUAAAGAUGCUCAUUUAGAAUUCAUCAAAAGUGGUGAUUUGCAUCCUCCAGGUAGCAACAGCAGGGACAGCAAUCUUAAAGAAACUGUCACUUUGAAGUGGUGUACUCCACGAACUAAUAGUGUUGAACUUCAUUUCUGCACAGGAGCUUUUCGUAUAUCUCCUGUUGAUGUCAACAGCCGACCCUCGUCUUGCCUGACAAAUUUUCUUCUUAAUGGGCGCUCUGUACUUCUGGAACAGCCUCGAAAGUCCGGUUCCAAAGUCAUCAGUCAUAUGCUCAGUAGUCAUGGAGGAGAGAUCUUUCUUCAUGUUCUCAGCAGCACACGCUCUAUUUUAGAAGAUCCACCUUCUAUCAGUGAAGGCUGUGGUGGCAGAGUAACAGACUACAGAAUUACUGAUUUUGGAGAGUUUAUGAGAGAAAAUCGUUUAACACCUUUCCCAGAGUUUAAUAUGAUGGAAAGUAACGAGGUUCCUUUGGAGAGAGCGAAGGCUCAACUUGAACGACACACUCGCUACUGGCCCAUGAUUAUUUCCCAAACAACAAUUUUUAACAUGCAGGCGGUGGUUCCUUUAGCCAGCUUAAUUGUAAAAGAAAGCCUAACAGAAGAUGAUGUGCUAACGUGUCAAAAGACUGUUUAUAAUUUAGUUGACAUGGAAAGAAAAAAUGACCCCCUUCCAAUCUCCACAGUAGGCACAAGAGGAAAAGGUCCCAAAAGAGAUGAACAAUACAGGAUUAUGUGGAAUGAAUUGGAAACUCUGGUCAAGGCACACAAUAAGACCUCAGAAAGACACCAACAUGUCUUGGAGUGCAUCCAGGCCUGUCGGAGCAAACCUCCUGAAGAAGAAGAGCGUAAAAAGAGAGGCAGAAAGAGAGAGGAGAAAGAAGACAAAACUGAAAAGAAUGGCAAGGAUGUUGAACCAGAGAAAACUUGGCAGGAGUCGGAAAGAUUAAAAGGAAUUUUAGAUCGAGAGAAAGAAGAAUUGGCUGAAGCUGAAAUCAUAAAAGAUUCUCCAGACUCUCCAGAGCCUUUAAAUAAAAAGCCCAGGUUAGCAAUGGAGGAAAUACAUCCUGUGGACAAAGCAAAGGGCCCAGUAUCAUUAUUGACAUUAUGGACCAACAGGAUAAAUGCUGCUAAUUCAAAAAAACACCAAGAAUUUGUUGGACGCAUGAAUUCAGUAAACGACAAGGCUGAAUUAUACCAACAUCUUAAAGAAGAAAAUGGGGUGGAUGCAGUUGAAAAUGGAAAAUCCAGCCGAUAAUGAAGAUUAACUGAUGAGCCCAUCAUGUUUUACUUGAAGCAGUCCAGGCAAAUUCAUACAGUAGUCAGGACAAGUUCCUAUUGCAGGCUUAGAGAGAAGCAAAUCUGCUGGAGAGACAGAUCCAUUUAGUGUGAGACAUUUCCUUGACGUCUCCAGUUUAUGAUGUAAGGCUAGAUGUUUCAAAAAUAUUUUUAUAUUAGAAAAGAAUAAAAGCAAGCAGGUUAAUAAUUUGAAAGGUACUGUAAAUACUAAGAUGGUGUUCCAGCUACAGUACUUUAUGACCAAUGAACCAUCCAUCCAUCCAUCCUCUUCCGCUUAUCUGGGGUCGGGUCGCGGGGGCAGCAGCUUAAGCAGAGAGG